UACAGGGGGCACUAGCGUUGCUCGGAAUCACUGGGCGUAAAGCGUACGCAGGCGGACGAUUAAGUCGUGGGUGAAAGCCUGGAGCUCAACUCCAGAAGUGCCCUCGAUACUGGUCGUCUUGAGUACGGGAGAGGUGAGUGGAAUUCCUGGUGUAGAGGUGAAAUUCGUAGAUAUCAGGAGGAACACCGGUGGCGAAAGCGGCUCACUGGCCCGAUACUGACGCUCAUGUACGAAAGCGUGGGGAGCAAACAGG
rnacentral:rRNA from 1 species